ACUGUUUUGGCAGAAAAGUGUAAUAGAUUUAGAAUCUAUAAAUGUGGUUAAUUUCCAUAAAUAGUA
rnacentral:tRNA from 1 species